UACAGAGGGUGCGAGCGUUAAUCGGAAUUAUUGGGCGUAAAGCGUGCGUAGGCGGUUGGGUAAGUCAGAUGUGAAAGCCCCGGGCUCAACGUGGGAAUUGCAUUUGAGACUGCUCUGCUCGGGUGCGGAAGAGGGAAGCGGAAUUUCCGGUGUAGCGGUGAAAUGCGUAGAUAUCGGAAGGAACACCAGUGGCGAAAGCGGCUUCCUGGUCCGACACUGACGCUCAGGCACGAAAGCGUGGGGAGCAAACAGG
rnacentral:rRNA from 1 species